GACGUAGGGCGCGAGCGUUGUCCGGAUUUAUUGGGCGUAAAGAGCGUGUAGGCGGCUAGAUAGGUCCGUUGUGAAAACUCGAGGCUCAACCUCGAGACGCCGAUGGAAACCAUCCAGCUAGAGUCCGGAAGAGGAGAGUGGAAUUCCCGGUGUAGCGGUGAAAUGCGCAGAUAUCGGGAAGAACACCCGUGGCUAAGGCGGCUCUCUAGUACGGUACUGACGCUGAGACGCGAAAGCGUGGGGAGCGAACAGG
rnacentral:rRNA from 1 species